rnacentral:lncRNA from 1 species
AGCGACUGCGUGUCACCACCAAUCAUACUUACGGUCUUCUUUUUUGCUUGACAAAACCAUCACCAUGGAUACGCCAGAUCUAGGCCACAAGAAGUGGGUCAGGAACGAUGGAUGGAGCGAAAUGUGUUGAUGCGGAUCAUUUUCCCCUACUUUCCCACAUGGCGUGUGGAUGGAGAGAAUGAUCUCACUGCUGUCCUGGCAUCUCUCAUACCUCAGCUACUGCCUUCCUCCCUCCAGCGCAGCUAGAGGACCCAGACAGCUCGACCUUUAUGAACCGUUAAUUAACAAGUCAAAAUAUAUCCCAUGAAAAAAACGCCACUGCUUUACGGCAAAGCUAACGCUGGAUGACCCAGACUUGAAAAGCCCAGGGAUAGACGGCUCAAAGAUGAAAGCAUUGUGACGGUCAACCAGGGCAGGGAUAAAUGAUGAGUUGGCAGAAAAGGCCUGGAGAAGGCUUCCUUAUGCAACACAGCGGACUGAGUGGCAUGGACUGGUAAAGGUUAAAUAUAUCCAGUCAAGUGUCACAAAAUCCAACUUGAUUGUUUCACUGUGACCUGGUUUUGUGAUUCAUCCUUUUUUAAACCAAGUUUUAUUCUGAAAGCAAAUUCAAACUUGGUUUAAACAAGGAUGAACAACAAAAUAAGUUAAAUUUGAUUUCAGCUCCCUUCCACUCUUUUAAACAGUAAGAUUUAAGCCAGAGGGUAUUUCUCACGGUGCAUUUCAUAUAUGCAUAUGUACAUUGCAGAUGCUAUUAAGUUUUGUGUUCUGCCAAAGACUGGUGAGUCAGUGGUGCAGCUCUGUACAUUUGAGUAUGCAUGCAGCAUACUGUUGUUCAGCAUUGAGCAAAUGUGCAUUAGUGCACUUUCCAGA